AGCAUUCAUCCCGAAGAAGACAGAGCACUGUUCCGCAGGGACAUAGACAAAGGUGCAGGCAGUGGCACAGACAUACGGAGUUGUAAAGACAGAAGUGAGCUCCUUUAGUUACAGAAUGAUACACACUCAAGGCAAAAAACUUGGAAAACUCAGACAAAGGUAAAAGGGAAAAACUGCAAGUCUGGCACCCAUAUAUUACUAUUUGUAACAUUUUAGGGUAUAUCCGAGAGAACCGUACUUCUUUGACUCUGCUCCUGGACAACCUAGACAG